CAGCCGCCACGGGAAUACGGAGGGGGCUAGCGUUGUUCGGAAUUACUGGGCGUAAAGCGCACGUAGGCGGCUUGGUAAGUUAGAGGUGAAAGCCCGGAGCUCAACUCCGGAAUUGCCUUUAAGACUGCCGAGCUAGUAGGUGAGAGAGGUAAGUGGAAUUCCGAGUGUAGAGGUGAAAUUCGUAGAUAUUCGGAAGAACACCAGUGGCGAAGGCGGCUUACUGGCUCAUUCUAGACGCUGAGGUGCGAAAGCGUGGGGAGCAAACAGGAUUAGAUACCCGCGUAGUCCCUGUCUCUUAUAC
rnacentral:rRNA from 1 species